CAAUUGCUCUUUUUAAAAUGUUAUUAUUUAUUUGUGUGCAUGUGCCUAUGUGAGUUUAUGUGUACUACAUGUGUGCGAGUGAGCAGGAAGUCUAGAAGAUGAUGUCAAAUCUCCUAAAACUAGAGCUAUAGGGGUUAUGAGCAGCCAUGUGGGUUCUGGAAACUGAACACAGUCCUGUGCAAGAGCAGCAAGCAUUCUUAAACUCCAGAUGGUUAACUCCACAGCUCCAUUUUAUUUGUUUGUUUGUUUGUUUAUUGUGUGUGUGUGUGUGUGUGUGUGUGUAUGCUCGUUCACACAUGUACAUGUUGAUGCUAUAACAUGCACAUGCAAAGCAGUGGUUCUCAACCUGUGGGUCUCAACCCUUUCUGGGGAUCAAACUACCUUUUCACAGGAGCCUUCUAAGACCAUUGGGGAAACACCAAUAUUUACAUUACGAUUCAUAACAGAGGAAAAUUACAGUUAUGAAGUAGUUACGAAAUGAUUUUAUAGUUAGGGAUCACCACGGCAUGAGGGACUGUGUUCAAGGUUCACAGCACUAGGAAGGUUGAGAACCACUGAGGUAGAGGUCAGAGGACAACUUUCAAGAGUUGGUUCUCCCCUUCUGUCACGUGGGGUCCCGGCUUGGCAGCAAGUAACUUCACCUGCUGAGCGAUGAUCUCACCAGUCCUCCACUUUAGUUUCUUGGCAGAGUGUCUUACUGAGCCUGGAGCUCACGAAUUCAGCUAGACUGGCUGGUCACCAAGCCCUGGGGACCCUCUCGACUCUGCCUCCCCAGAAAUGGCAUUACCGGAGUGUGUCCAGUGGGUACUGGGACCUAAUGCUGGUCCUCGUGCCAGCAAGCACUUGACCGACUGAGCUGUCAGCCCAGCCCUUGGUUUUGAUAUUGGCAGUGGAGGAGGGAGAACCUGGUUAAGGGGUGACUUCACUGUAACCUUCAAAGGGCUCCCCUACAGGGGCAGCCUGUGUUUCGUCCCAAAUGGUCCCAGAUUCCCUAAGCAGCUGACUCCAUCCUGUGAGAUUUCCACAGCUCUGCCCUAUGUACGUACACAGUUGCCAGCAACACAAAGACCAACAAGGGCCAAGCACUAGGCGUCGCGGGGCACUGAGGUGUCUAAGGCUCCACUUACUUAUUUUGGCAAGCGGUUUCCUAGCCCCACCCUUUAGACUUGAAGACCUAAGGUCUCCCAAAUUUGAGUAUUUUGUGCCUAAUAAAUCUUACUUGUGACACUGUUUUUCAGAGCCCAGGCAGACUCUCAAGAGCUGUAUGGCAUCCUUUCUGAAGUACCAAGGGAAAGGCUUUUGCUGAGGUUCCAUGGGGAGCAGAAGUGGACAAGACCAAGCCCUGUGCAAAUACUGCCCAGCAUGAAGGUCACCCAGACAGAUCCUGGGCCACUGCUGUCUCUGUCACCUUAGAGUCUGGAAGAAGAGCCUCUUGCUUCCUACAGUCUCCUGUUCCUCACCCCAUUCCUGAGCCCCUAAGGGUAGAUGUAGCAUUUGUACUAAAUUAUGUUUGCUUUCUGUGUGAAAGGAGCCCAGUUCUCAGACUUUCCUACCAUCUCCUUAGAAUACACCAACUAUCUGCUCCUGAUUCCUGACACCACAAGGCUGAGACCAGCACCAUUCAUGGCUCGGCCUCUGGGCACAGCUUCAGUAUGGGGCAUACAUGGAUCCUUGGCCCCAUGCCGCAUCAGACUCACAGGGAUAGUCUGUCCAGGGUUCCUUCACUGCUUGUCUCUGUGGCCUCCCUACAUCCUCUCCAACAUCUGUUCCAAACCCAUAUUUUCUGAAUGUUCAAAUCAUCUUCUCAAGACUACACCUUAAGACCUGCAGUUCCUCCACAGGCUUAGAGCUAUCUGCAAGGACUUGGCAUCACCCUCCCCCAUAGAAGGACUGGUGAGGGGUUCAGAUCCUGACUUCCACUUCCAAUUCCCUCCCUUUCCAUCCAUCUCCUCUUUCUCCAAAAUCCCUCCUGCCUUCUCCACACCCAGGCCUUUGUUAGGAUACUCCUAGCCCAUCCUCCCGUGAUUGACACCUGAUUGAUGGUUUAUAUAUUUCAGAGAGAUCUAAUUCCCCAGUUGAGAAGGACAGGUAGCUACCAGUCCAUGGACAUGGCAAGAUGUAAUUCCUGUCCUUUGGAGCAUUCAUCACCCCGACCCACACCAUUGCCCUUCUGCAUUCCACUUCAGGAUGUGUCUUUGUCUGGAGUGGGCCCAGCUCACUGAGAACUGAGAACAGUAAUGCCUGCUAAAUGCAUGGGUGAGUGUGCCCAGGCUGUGAGCAUCCUCCAAGGCCCUCUCGUUUUUUUGUCGAGUCCUGCAUCGUUUAUUUCCUUUUGACAAUGUUGCACCAAUAGUCACUUGUAGAGUGGAUCUUCCGCCAGGUACUGCCUUGAGCAUUUGACCAAAUCAGCCUCAGUUUUUCCUAUCAGCUGGGUCGUGGAACAACCCGUACAGAAAGUGCCAAGGAGAUACCAUCCAUACCACUGGUCACCAGUGACCCUGCUGUUCAAACCUAGACCCUGACGUCUGUGCCCUGAGCCUCUGUGCCAUGAUGCUGAGGAGCGGGUCACUCCUAGGGACCUAGCAAAGUCCUCUUUAUUCUCAGAAUCUUCCAUCUUGGGGUCUUUAACCAGGUACCCCUCCCCACUAAUAAACAUUUGUAAGAGGUUUUAA